rnacentral:rRNA from 1 species
GACGAACGCUGGCGGCGUGCCUAAUACAUGCAAGUUGAGCGCUGAAGGCUGGUACUUGUACCAACUGGAUGAGGAGCGAACGUGUGAGUAACGCGUGUGGAAUCUGCCUUUGAGCGGGGUACCACAUGUGGAAACGAAUGCUAAUACCGCAUAAAAACUUUAAACACAAGUUUUAAGUUUGAAAGAUGCAAUUGCAUCACUCAAAGAUGAUCCCGCGUUGUAUUAGCUAGUUGGUGAGGUAAAGGCGCACCAAGGCGAUGAUACGUAGCCGACCUGAGAGGGUGAGCGGCCGCACUGAGACGGAGACACGGCACAUAGUGAUACAGAUGGCAGCAGUACGGAUUCGGGGGCAAGGGACGAAAGUCUGUGCGAGCAACGCGGAGUGAGGGAAGAACGUUGCCGGAUCGUAAAUCACGGUUGGUAGGGAAGAACGUUGGUGCGCGUGGAAAGCUGAGCAAGUGACGGUAAUGGGCAAGAAAGGAACGGCUAACUACGUG